UACAGAGGGGGCAAGCGUUGUUCGGAAUUACUGGGCGUAAAGGGCGCGUAGGUGGCCUUCUAAGUUGAACGUGAAAUCCCUGGGCUCAACCCAGGAACUGCGUCCAAGACUGGGAGGCUUGAAUCCGGGAGAGGGAUGCGGAAUUCCAGGUGUAGCGGUGAAAUGCGUAGAUAUCUGGAGGAAUACCGGUGGCGAAGGCGGCAUCCUGGACCGACAUUGACGCUGAGGAGCGAAAGCUAGGGGAGCAAACGGG
rnacentral:rRNA from 1 species